UACGGAGGGUGCAAGCGUUGUUCGGAAUCAUUGGGCGUAAAGAGCGUGUAGGUGGUUAAAUAAGUCAGAUGUGAAAUCCCUUGGCUCAACUGAGGAAGUGCAUCUGAAACUGUUUAGCUUGAGUACGGGUGGGGAAUGGCGGAAUUCCCAGUGUAGAGGUGAAAUUCAUAGAUAUUGGGAGGAACACCGGUGGCGAAGGCGGCCUUCUAGCCCGAUACUGACACUGAGACGCGAAAGCGUGGGGA
rnacentral:rRNA from 1 species